rnacentral:misc_RNA from 1 species
GAUGAAGAACGUAGCGAAAUGCGAUAAGUAAUGUGAAUUGCAGAAUUCAGUGAAUCAUCGAAUCUUUGAACGCACCUUGCACCCUUUGGCAUUCCGAAGGGUAUGCUCGUUUGAGUGUCAUUGUACUCUCACACUUCCAAUCUUUGGAUUGGGAGCAGUGGACUUGGGUGUUGCUGCUUACUGUGGCUCACCUCAAAUCGAUUCGUGCACCUCUUGGUUGGACAUAGAACGGCGUGAUAAGUGUCUUCGCCGGCACCUCAGUAGAGGGUGGCUGAUCAGGAGCUCUGUGCUUCAAACCGUCCUCGGACAAAAACUGACAACUUGACCUCAAAUCGAGUAGGACUACCCGCUGAACUUAAGCAUAUCAAUAAGCGGAGGA